rnacentral:misc_RNA from 1 species
UUUCCGUAGGUGAACCUGCGGAAGGAUCAUUACUGAGUGAGGGCCCUCUGGGUCCAACCUCCCACCCGUGUUUAUUAUACCUUGUUGCUUCGGUGAGCCCGCCUCACGGCCGCCGGGGGGCAUCUGCCCCCGGGCCCGCGCCCACCGAAGACACCUAGAACUCUGUAUGAAGAUUGCAGUCUGAGCAAAAACUAAAUAUGUUAAAACUUUCAACAACGGAUCUCUUGGUUCCG